UAAGGAAUAUUGGUCAAUGGACGAAAGUCUGAACCAGCCAUGCCGCGUGGAGGAUGAAGGUCCUCUGGAUUGUAAACUUCUUUUAUCUGGGACGAAAAAAGGUCUUUCUAGAUCGUCUGACGGUACCAGAUGAAUAAGCACCGGCCAACUCCGUGCCAGCAGCCGCGGUAAUACGGAGGGUGCAAGCGUUAUCCGGAUUCACUGGGUUUAAAGGGUGCGUAGGUGGGUUGGUAAGUCAGUGGUGAAAUCUUCGAGCUUAACUCGGAAACUGCCAUUGAUACUAUCAGUCUUGAAUAUUGUGGAGGUUAGCGGAAUAUGUUAUGUAGCGGUGAAAUGCUUAGAUAUGACAUAGAACACCAAUUGCGAAGGCAGCUGGCUACACAUAUAUUGACACUGAGGCACGAAAGCGUGGGGAUCAAACA
rnacentral:rRNA from 1 species